rnacentral:tRNA from 1 species
GGGCUCGUAGGGUAGCCAGGAUAUCCUAAUGGGCUUCGAAGUAAAGUCUUUUACGAGGUGUAAAGUCUUUUACGAAGAUACCCAUUGACUCGUGUUCGAAUCGCGGCGGGCCCG